CAUUUCAAUUGAGUUUAUUCCACUCAUGACUGUCAUAACUCUUAAGUUAUUUUCCUAUUGCCCAAAGGACAAAGCUUUCUAUCAAAAACAACCGCAGCAGUCUCUGCCACAGGUAGAUAUUCUUUUUUUGUGCAUUUUAACCAGAUUAUAAUAAUGUUAGUAGAAUAAACAAUAACCUAAUAUGUACAAUCUAAAAAUUACAAGUAAGAUAUAUCAGCUGUAGACUAAUGGGCAUUUGUAUUAUUUUUCAAUGAGACGAUACACAGAAGGGACACCGUAGUGAUAAAGACGGGUGUAUGUGUGAGGAAGUGAAGAGAUUUUGUAGGUUUUUGUUGCAAAGCUAGUUAGAAAUAUGCUGGGGCAGAAAUCUUCACCAUUUGACCUUCCCUUAUCACCAAGUUAGGAUUAAUUCUUGUGAGCAAUUACUAAGAAUUCACUUAUACGAGAAUGCUGCUAGAAAUGUAAAAAAGAAAAGUCGCAAAGAAAU
rnacentral:lncRNA from 1 species